rnacentral:lncRNA from 1 species
UUGCAUAGCUAGGCAAUUACAUUGCAGUUUUUAUCAACUCAAUCAAGACUAUCCAGUUGGAGAUUGCUGAUUGGCACAAGUAGAGCAAGGAAGCUAACUUGGCUAUGGUGAAAGCUCGAUCCACAAUAAAGGUGGCCGAGACCAAAGUGAAGUGCCUUAAGGAGGUGCUAGAAAAGGCUGAAGCCUCCAAGGCCAAGACUGAGGUGAAAUUGGC